rnacentral:rRNA from 1 species
GAUGAACGCUGGCGGCGUGCCUAAUACAUGCAAGUCGAGCGAACGGACGAGAAGCUUGCUUCUCUGAUGUUAGCGGCGGACGGGUGAGUAACACGUGGAUAACCUACCUAUAAGACUGGGAUAACUUCGGGAAACCGGAGCUAAUACCGGAUGAUAUUUUGAACCGCAUGGUUCAAAAGUGAAAGACGGUCUUGCUGUCACUUAUAGAUGGAUCCGCGCCGCAUUAGCUAGUUGGUAAGGUAACGGCUUACCAAGGCAACGAUGCAUAGCCGACCUGAGAGGGUGAUCGGCCACACUGGAACUGAGACACGGUCCAGACUCCUACGGGAGGCAGCAGUAGGGAAUCUUCCGCAAUGGGCGAAAGCCUGACGGAGCAACGCCGCGUGAGUGAUGAAGGUCUUCGGAUCGUAAAACUCUGUUAUUAGGGAAGAACAUAUGUGUAAGUAACUGUGCACAUCUUGACGGUACCUAAUCAGAAAGCAACGGCUAACUACGUG